rnacentral:rRNA from 1 species
CCGAUCCCUGACCGGCUGCCUCCGGCCUUGCUCGCAAUGCGACAAGCGGGGUGAGACCCUUUCCCCCGUCUCUGGACGUGACGUAUGGUGGAGGUCGGCAGGGCGAUGAUCGAAGUUUAAAUUUCCCUCGAGGGGGAGGGCGCAGGCCCGGGACUUGUCAAGACGCCGCGGGCUGACCGUUCUCGGUAGCGAGUCGUCGGUAAACGGCGGCAGUGCACCGGGGCAGGCUCGUGGGCAGUCGGCAAGUACCAUGAGCAUAUAUGUUGGGACCCGAAAGAUGGUGAACUAUGCCUGGCCAGGAUGAAGCCAGAGGAAACUCUGGUGGAGGUCCGUAGCGAUUCUGAAGUGCAAAUCGAUCGUCGGAGCUGGGUAUAGGGGCGAAAGACUAAUCGAAUCAUCUAGUAGCUGGUUCCCUCCGAAGUUUCCCUGAGGAUAGCUGGAACUCGUAGGGUGAAUUUCAUCCAGUAAAGCGAAUGAUUAGAGGUCUUGGGGACGAAACGUCCUCAACCUAUUCUCAAACUUUAAAUGGGUGAGACGCCGAGCUUGCUUGUAGGGAUGAAGCUCCGGCGACUAAUCUGAGUAUCUAGUGGGCCACUUUU